rnacentral:rRNA from 1 species
GUGGGGAAUUUUGGACAAUGGGGGCAACCCUGAUCCAGCCAUGCCGCGUGAGUGAAGAAGGCCUUCGGGUUGUAAAGCUCUUUCAGCCGGGAAGAAAGCGCACUCUCUAACAUAGGGUGUGGAUGACGGUACCGGAAGAAGAAGCACCGGCUAACUACGUGCCAGCAGCCGCGGUAAUACGUAGGGUGCGAGCGUUAAUCGGAAUUACUGGGCGUAAAGGGUGCGCAGGCGGUUUUGUAAGACAGAUGUGAAAUCCCCGGGCUUAACCUGGGAACUGCGUUUGUGACUGCAAGGCUAGAGUACGGCAGAGGGGGGUGGAAUUCCGCGUGUAGCAGUGAAAUGCGUAGAUAUGCGGAGGAACACCGAUGGCGAAGGCAACCCCCUGGGCCUGUACUGACGCUCAUGCACGAAAGCGUGGGGAGCAAACAGGAUUAGAUACCCUAGUAGUCC